GUAGGUGUAGUUUAAUAGUAAAAAUGCGUAAAUCUUAAAUAAUCCUCUCAUCUCUCAUUUACGCGAAGCAGGUUCAAACCCUGCCACCUGCU
rnacentral:tRNA from 1 species